rnacentral:tRNA from 1 species
GCAGGACUGGCCCGGCGAGGGCGGCGACGGCUGGGAGCCGGUGGACGCGAUCGAGGGCGUGGCUCCGGCCGCGGUCCUGAA